AUUGAACGCUGGCGGCAGGCCUAACACAUGCAAGUCGAACGAGUGGCGGACGGGUGAGUAAUGUCUGGGAAACUGCCUGAUGGAGGGGGAUAACUACUGGAAACGGUAGCUAAUACCGCAUACCAUCGGAUGUGCCAAGAUGGGAUUGGCUAGUAGGGGGGGUAAAGGCGCACCUAGGCGACGAGCCCUAGCUGGGCUGAGAGGAUGACCAGCCACACUGGAACUGAGACACGGUCCAGACUCCUGCGGGAGGCAGCAGUGGGGAAUAUUGCACAAUGGGCGCAGGCCUGAUGCAGCCAUGUCGCGUGUAUGAAGAAGGCCUUCGGGUUGUAAAGUACUUUCAGCGGGGAGGUGUUACCCGCAGAAGAAGCGCCGGCUAACUCCGUGCCAGCAGCCGCGGUAAUAC
rnacentral:rRNA from 1 species